AGGCUUAACACAUGCAAGUCGAGGGGCAGCAUGGUCUUAUCUUGCUAAGGCCGAUGGCGACCGGCGCACGGGUGAGUAACACGUAUCCAACCUGCCGUCUACUCUUGGACAGCCUUCUGAAAGGAAGAUUAAUACAAGAUGGCAUCAUGAGUCCGCAUGUUCACAUGAUUAAAGGUAUUCCGGUAGACGAUGGGGAUGCGUUCCAUUAGAUAGUAGGCGGGGUAACGGCCCACCUAGUCUUCGAUGGAUAGGGGUUCUGAGAGGAAGGUCCCCCACAUUGGGACUGAGACACGGUCCAAACUCCUACGGGAGGCAGCAGUGAGGAAUAUUGGUCAAUGGGCGAGAGCCUGAACCAGCCAAGUAGCGUGAAGGAUGACUGCCCUAUGGGUUGUAAACUUCUUUUAUAAAGGAAUAAAGUCGGGUAUGCAUACCCGUUUGCAUGUACUUUAUGAAUAAGGAUCGGCUAACUCCGUGCCAGCAGCCGCGGUAAUACGGAGGAUCCGAGCGUUAUCCGGAUUUAUUGGGUUUAAAGGGAGCGUAGAUGGAUGUUUAAGUCAGUUGUGAAAGUUUGCGGCUCAACCGUAAAAUUGCAGUUGAUACUGGAUAUCUUGAGUGCAGUUGAGGCAGGCGGAAUUCGUGGUGUAGCGGUGAAAUGCUUAGAUAUCACGAAGAACUCCGAUUGCGAAGGCAGCCUGCUAAGCUGCAACUGACAUUGAGGCUCGAAAGUGUGGGUAUCAAACAGGAUUAGAUACCCUGGUAGUCCACACGGUAAACGAUGAAUACUCGCUGUUUGCGAUAUACAGCAAGCGGCCAAGCGAAAGCGUUAAGUAUUCCACCUGGGGAGUACGCCGGCAACGGUGAAACUCAAAGGAAUUGACGGGGGCCCGCACAAGCGGAGGAACAUGUGGUUUAAUUCGAUGAUACGCGAGGAACCUUACCCGGGCUUAAAUUGCAGAUGAAUUACGGUGAAAGCCGUAAGCCGCAAGGCAUCUGUGAAGGUGCUGCAUGGUUGUCGUCAGCUCGUGCCGUGAGGUGUCGGCUUAAGUGCCAUAACGAGCGCAACCCUUGUUGUCAGUUACUAACAGGUUCCGCUGAGGACUCUGACAAGACUGCCAUCGUAAGAUGUGAGGAAGGUGGGGAUGACGUCAAAUCAGCACGGCCCUUACGUCCGGGGCUACACACGUGUUACAAUGGGGGGUACAGAGGGCCGCUACCACGCGAGUGGAUGCCAAUCCCAAAAACCUCUCUCAGUUCGGACUGGAGUCUGCAACCCGACUCCACGAAGCUGGAUUCGCUAGUAAUCGCGCAUCAGCCACGGCGCGGUGAAUACGUUCCCGGGCCUUGCACA
rnacentral:rRNA from 1 species